GGAGGGGUGGCAGAGUGGUUGAAUGCGACAGUCUUGAAAACUGUUGACCCGCAAGGGUUCGUGGGUUCGAAUCCCACCCCCUCCGCCA
rnacentral:tRNA from 2 species